GGCUCCCGGCGUUGUUUCGUAAGGCGCCAUGCGGCGGGCCACGUUUUUCGUUAGCGUGAUCGCGCUCGUCAUUUUCUGCUCGUUGAUCGUCGAUCAUGGACUCGCGGAUCCAGAUCCGGAUCCGGAUCCUCGCCGUUUGAUCUACAUCAUCACGCAUCGGCCGAGGAAGAGACACGAGGAUAUUGUCGUCAUCACGCCGCACAGAAGAAAGCACAGGAAGACGCGCAUCAUUUACGUUUCACAUUGAACAGGCACUUGUGAAAAUUGUUCGCUCGCUGAAAAGCGAGGAGGCGACGGUGCACGCGGAGAGGGAAAACGAUACAUCGGAGGCGUUGAAAAGCACGGCCGCGUGCAGUGUGCAUACUGCGUGCACAGAGGCAACGUCUUACCUUGACCGAGCACUUCCGGUAUCCCGCUUGCAUCGCAGUGCACUGUGCAUCAUGCACUCUGCCGAUUACUUCGAUCUUACUAUGUAUCUGCAUGGAAAAUACAAGGAAGUUUCUAUGACAACGAA